UUUCAGAUUAAAGAAAAAUAUUUUGUAUCUUGCGUUUGGGUUGCAUCUGGAUUACAAUAUUAUUUGAGAUUAAAUCAUUGGAAAGGAUUAUGACAACAUUUUUUAUUCUGGAAGUAAUGUUUUCAAUAUUCCAAGAAAUUAUACAAAUUCAGUGCAAAACCACGCAAAGAUAUACGCAAUCUUUAGUAAGUAAGCUGUCAUCUCAAUUGUACGAGUAUUAAUAAUAUACAAGAAGCCACAAAGCACUGUGUGCGAGAUUGUGUGCGCAAAAAAACAGUGCAUAGAAUCAUCAGUUAAUUUUAAUGCUGUUAGUAGAAGAGUGCGUGGAUCUUUGUAAAAAGAUAUUAUUUGAUGAAAUGAAGUUAAAUAUGAAAGAUGCUAUUGCAUACAAGAUGUUACACGUAGAAGGAAUGUAAAAGGAAUUACUCUAAAUUGGAAAAAACACAAACUAAAUCGAUAAUAAGUUAAUUAUAUUGUGACGCAACGAUUACCACCAAAUUUAAAACGAAUGAAAAAGUGAUUAUGACUACUAUUAAUUCAUUAAAAUUGUUGUAAAAAUUUAAUAUAUACUUUAUUUUAUGCGCAUAAUAACUUUAAUUAUAUAAAUAAUAAUUCAGAUCUAAAAAAAAACUUUGCAUUUUAAUCAAUCAUACUGUUCAGUAUAUAUACUACCUUUGUAUUCAAUUAUAUAUAAUUCCUAACAAUAAAAACUUUUUUCCGUGUGUAUUAUA
rnacentral:lncRNA from 1 species